ACAACUUUUAACAAUAGAUCUCUUAGUUCUAGCAUUAAUAAAGAACGCAGCGAAAUGCGAUAAGUAGUGUAAAUUGUAGAAUUUAGUAAAUUAUUAAAUCUUUAAACGUAUAUUGCGCCCCUUAGUAUUCUAUAGGGCAUACCUAUUUAAGCGUUAUUUGUACCCUUAAGCUCUACUUAGUGUUAGGUGUUUGUUCUACUUAGGACUUGCCUUAAAACAAUUAGCAGCUAGCAUAUUAGCCUAGAGCGUAGCAUAUUUUGCGCCUCUUAUUAUAGUUAUUAGUAUCUAUUAAGACACUUUUUAAGCUCUUAACCUUAGAUUAGGUAGGGAUACCUGCUAAACUUAAGCAUAUUAAUAAGCAGAGGAAAAGAAACUAAUAGGGAUUACCCUAGUAAUAGCAAGUAAAGCUGUAACAGCUUAAAUUUAAAAUCUAGCUCUUUUAGGGUCUAAGUUGUAAUUUGCAGAGAGCGCUUUAGUGUUAGUAGUAGUCUAAGUUCCUUAGAAUAGGAUAUUAUAGAGGGUAAGAAUCCUAUACAUAGUUACUAGCCUUUGCCGUGUAAAGCCCCUUUAACAAGUUAAGUUAUUUAGGAAUAUAGCUCUAAAUAGGAGGUAAAUUUCUUCUAAAGCUAAAUACUAGCUAGAGACUAAUAGCGCACAAGUAGAGUAAUAAAAAGAUAAAAAGCACUUUAAAAAGAGAGUUAAAUAGCACGUGAAAUUGUUAAAAGGGAAGCGCUUGCAGCUAGACUUGCCUAUAGUUGCUUCUCUAGGCUUUUGUCUAGUGCACUCUUUUAUAGGCAGGCUAGUAUUAGUUUAGGUAGUUAGAUAAAGGUCUCUAUUACCUACCUCCCUUUAGGGAGGCCUAUGGGGGGAGACAAUAUGUAACUAGCCUAGACUAUGGUCCGCGCAUCUACUAGGAUACUAGCGUAAUAGCUAUAAGCGGCCUAUCUUAUAAAUCCAGACUAAGGAGUCUAAUAUCUAUACAAGUGUUUAGGGGUUAAGCCUAGACGUGUAAUAAAAGUAAACAGAGGUAGGAACCCUUUUAGGGUGCACUAUUAACCAAUCCUAAUAUCUUUAGAAGGAUUUAAGUAAGAGUAUAGCUAUUAGGACCUAAAAGAUAGUAAACUAUGCUUAAAUAGGGUAAAGCUAGAGGAAACUCUAGUAGAGGCUCGUAGCAGUUCUAACGUGCAAAUUAAUUGUUAAAUUUAGGCAUAGGGGCAAAAGACUAAUUAAACUAUGUAGUAGCUAGUUCCUGCUAAAGUUUCCCUUAGGAUAGUAGUAACGUAUUUAGUUUUAUAAGGUAAAGCGAAUAAUUAGAGGCCUAGGGGUUAAAAUAACCUUUACCUAUUCUUAAACUUUAAAUAUGUAAGAAGUCCUUAUUACUUAAUUAAACGUAGACACUUAAAUAUACUAUUACUAGUAGGCUAUUUUUAGUAAGCAGAACUAGCGAUGCAGGAUAAACUAAACGUAGGGUUAAGGUGCUAGAAUGCACGCUUAUUAGACACUACAAAAGGUGUUAGUUUAUCUAGAUAGCAGGAUAGUAGCUAUAGAAGUUAGAAUCUACUAAGGAGUGUGUAAUAACUUACCUGCUAAAUAAACUAGCCCUAAAAAUAGAUAGCGCUUAAGCGUGUUACCUAUACCCCGCCGCCAGGGCAAGAUUUAAGCCCUAGCAAGUAGGCAGGCGUAGAGGCUUGUGACAAAGCCUUAGGGGUAACCCUAGGUAGAACAGCCUCUAGUGCAGAUCUUAGUAGUAGUAGCAAAUACUUAAAUAAGAACUUUAAGGACUAAAGUAGGGAAAGGUUCUAUAUAAAUAGCAGUUAGACAUAGGUUAGUUAAUCCUAAGAGAUAGGGUAAUUCUAUUUUAAUAUUAGUGCUUGCGCCAUACCCUUAAAAGGGAAGCUAGUUAAUAUUCUAGCACCUAGAUGUAGAUUCUCCGCGGCAACGCAACUAAGAGCAGAGACCUUAGCAGGAGCCCUAAGAAGAGUUCUCUUUUCUUCUUAACAGUCUAUUACCCUAAAAUUAGUUUGUCUAGAGCUAGGGUUUAAUAGCUAGAAGAGCGCUAUACUUUUAUAGUAUUUAGUGCGCUCCUAAUAAGCCUUAAAAAUCUACUUAAAGAAAUAGUUUUUACGCUAGGUUAUACUUAUAACCGUAGCAGGUCUCUAAGGUAAAAAGCCUCUAGUUAAUAGAACAAUGUAGAUAAGGGAAGUUAGCAAAAUAGAUCUGUAACUUUAGGAAAAGGAUUAGCUCUAAGGGUUAGGUACGUUAGGCCUUAGGGAGAAGCCUCUAGCGCAGAAGGGCACUAACUGCAAGGUGGGCGCCUCUUAGCGCUAGGGUGUAGACACCCUUAGUAGGUUUUGGCUGUCUAGCGUACGUUUAAUAACUAACUUAGAACUAGUAUAGAUAAGGGGAAUCUAACUAUCUAAUUAAAACAUAGUAUUACAAUAGCUAGAAAGUAGUAUUAAUAUAAUGUGAUUUCUGCCUAGUGCUCUAAAUAUUAAAGCAAAGAGAUUUAACUAAGCGCAGGUAAAUAGCAGGAGUAACUAUAACUCUCUUAAGGUAGCUAAAUGCCUUGUUAUCUAAUUAGUAACGCGCAUAAAUAGAUUAACAAGAUUCCUACUAUCCCUAUCUACUAUCUAGCGAAACUAUAGCUAAGGGAAUAGGCUUAGCUAAAUUAGCAGGGAAAGAAGACCCUAUUAAGCUUAACUCUAGUUUAACAUUAUAAAAAGAUAUAGGGGGUGUAGAAUAGGUAGGAGCUUUAGCGCUAGUAAAAUACUACUACCCUUAUUGUUUUUUUACUUAUUUAAUAAAGCAGAGCUAGGCCUUACUACCUAACUUCUAGCGUUUAAGGUCCUUUAUAGGCUAAUCUAGGUUAAAGAUAUUGUUAGGUAGGGAGUUUAGCUAGGGCAGCACAUCUAUUAAACUAUAACGUAGGUGUCCUAAGGGGGACUUAUAGAGAAUAGAAAUCUCUAGUAGAGUAAAAGGGCAAAAGUCCCCUUAAUUUUAAUUUUUAGUGUGAAUACAAACUAUAAAAGUAUAGCCUAUUAAUCCUUUAGUCCCUUAAAAUUUAAGGCUAGAGGUGCUAGAAAAGUUACUAUAGGGAUAACUGGCUUGUGGCAGCCAAGCGUUUAUAGCAACGUUGCUUUUUAAUCCUUUAAUAUUAGCUCUUCCUAUUAUACUAAAGUAGAAUUUAGUAAGCGUUAGAUUGUUUACCUACUAAUAGGGAACGUAAGCUAGGUUUAGACUAUUGUAAGAUAGGUUAGUUUUACCCUACUAAUAACCUUGCCCUAAUAGUAAUACCGCUUAGUACAAGAGGAACCGCGGUUUUAGAUAAUUAGUUUUUGCGGCUAUCUAACUAGGCAUUACUGCAAAGCUACUAUCUACUAGAUUAUAGCUAAACGCCUCUAAGUCAGAAUCCAUGCUAGAAUAGGGUGAUUUCCGCCUGCACUAGUUAGAUACAAAUAGGCCUUUGGCCUAGAACCUUACUAGAUUAGCGUUAGCAGCCCUAUUAAAGUUAGGGUUGUUAGCUAGUAUAUUACAAUUGUACAGUGCGCAGGAUUAAAUCCUUUGUAGAUAACUUA
rnacentral:rRNA from 2 species